GUCUUCGUGGAGCAAUGUAACUCCCUCCUCCUAAAUUUGAUGGAAUUGCACGAACUUUACAGGGGAGCGUCGGUGGUUCGAAUCCACCCGAAGACC